AACGAACGCUGGCGGCAGGCCUAACACAUGCAAGUCGAGCGAGGACUUCGGUUCUAGCGGCGGACGGGUGAGUAACGCGUGGGAAUGUGCCCUUCUCUACGGUAUAGCCCUGGGAAACUGGGAGUAAUACCGUAUACGCCCUAUUGGGGAAAGAUUUAUCGGAGAAGGAUCAGCCCGCGUUGGAUUAGGUAGUUGGUGGGGUAAUGGCCUACCAAGCCGACGAUCCAUAGCUGGUUUGAGAGGAUGAUCAGCCACACUGGGACUGAGACACGGCCCAGACUCCUACGGGAGGCAGCAGUGGGGAAUCUUAGACAAUGGGGGCAACCCUGAUCUAACCAUGCCGCGUGAGUGAUGAAGGCCUUAGGGUUGUAAAGCUCUUUCAGCUGGGAAGAUAAUGACGGUACCAGCAGAAGAAGCCCCGGCUAACUCCGUG
rnacentral:rRNA from 1 species